GAUGAACGCUAGCUACAGGCUUAACACAUGCAAGUCGCGGGACCGGCGCACGGGUGAGUAACGCGUAUCCAACCUGCCCUUCACCACGGGAUAACCCGGCGAAAGUCGGACUAAUACCGUAUGGUGAAGGCUGGGGAUGCGUCCGAUUAGCUUGGCGGCGGGGUAACGGCCCACCGUGGAUACGAUCGGUAGGGGGUCUGAGAGGAAGGUCCCCCACACUGGAACUGAGACACGGUCCAGACUCCUACGGGAGGCAGCAGUGAGGAAUAUUUGUCAAUGGGCGUAAGCCUGAACCAGCCAAGUAGCGUGCAGGACGACGGCCUAUGGGUUGUAAAGGACUUUUGUCAGGGAAGCGGUACCUGAAGAAUAAGCACCGGCUAACUACGUGCCAGCAGCCGCGGUAAUAC
rnacentral:rRNA from 1 species